rnacentral:rRNA from 1 species
ACGAGGGGUCCAAGCGUUGUUCGGAAUCAUUGGGCGUAAAGCGGGUGUAGGUGGCUCUGUAAGUCGGAAGUGAAAGCCCAAGGCUCAACCUUGGAAGUGCUUUCGAUACUACAAAGCUUGAGUGUGGGAGAGGAUAGUGGAAUUCCAGGUGUAGUGGUGAAAUACGUAGAUAUCUGGAGGAACACCGGUGGCGAAGGCGGCUAUCUGGCCCAACACUGACACUCAGACCCGAAAGCGCGGGGAUCAAACAGGAUUAGAUACCCUGGUAGUCCGCGCCAUAAACGAUGGAUACUUGGUGUUGGAGGUAUUGACCCCUUCAGUGCCGAAGCAAACGCGUUAAGUAUCCCGCCUGGGAAGUACGGCCGCAAGGUUA